rnacentral:tRNA from 2 species
AAAACUUAAGAAAGAAUAAUAAUAUUCUAUUAAUUU